CAAGUAGUUUCAUCCCAUCAAGGAAACUAACUCUUAUAUGUAUGCUGAUAACUAUCCCACAACCUUUAGUUUGAACAAGUCAAAUAGCUACCCUUAUCUUCCAAUAUGUGGGCCACUAUGCAACAAAUAAAUAAAUAAAUAAACAUAUCAUUUUAUUUAAAAUAUCUAACAGGUACCACUUCUAUCUCCCUCUAAAAUAUUAUUUUCUGGUACUAUAAUAACCCAGCCGUUUACGAACUGGGCUAGUGGGCCGGCCUGAAGAGGCCAGGCCCAAUUGAAGCGAGCCCUGUUUCUCGAAAGGAUGAAGGAGAAGACUCCCGAUCGGAGUCUUCUUCCUCCUCCAUUUCCGGCGACAGAGUUCGAAUCGAUCUCGGAGAGCUUGCCUAUUUAAGGCCCAUUCCUCCUCCUCCUAGUUUCAUCGAUGAAGACCCGAGAAUCGCCGCCGAUCCCCAAGCGUUUCUUCCGGAUUUCUUCUUCGAUUCAUCGCCGGAAAAUGUCGUCGGAACACCUCGCCGGACCGAGGAGAACAAUCUUUUGGACAAGAGGAUAUUGAGCAGAGGCUUACGCACUCCGGUUUGUAGAUCGUAGUAGUUUAUUUGGGUUGUCAGCGAAGAGAAUUGCAGGUUGAAUGGUACAUGGCUAUCGUUGAGAUCACGGAUGGAGGAAUAAUUAGAUAGAGUAUCACAAAUUUUGGUUGGAUGAAGAAGUUUUGUAAUUGGAUCAUUUUGUUGUUUAGUAUGAAUUGAAAUCAUUGUUGAUUACAUAUAUGGAGGUUGUAUUAUAUUUUUAGACCUAACAUAUUUUUCAGAGCUCUAUUCUAAAGAGUGUAUGGCCGUGUCGUGUGCCGGACCUGAAUAUUGGAUUUGAGGCAUGACAGAUACUACUUUGUUCCCCACCAAGUAGACCGAUCUCCGUGGCAGCCCUGCGUAUUACACCAAUAGAGUGGUGCCGUGGCGCAUUUCUUAAACUAUACACACCCACUUGAACAAGAGGUGUACCCUUUGGGCUGUAGCCGAGUUUGCAUCACAGGCGUACAGCUGUUGGUGUUUCUAGACAUACUCAUGUACAAGAUUUGAACCUUUUCAAAACAGUUAAAGGAGCCUAUUUCAAAUAUUGACUCUUGAAUA